rnacentral:lncRNA from 1 species
ACAACCGCCCAAAGCAAUUCCCACAAUUGCUUAAAAGAUCGUCGCCGAAUUCCGCCAUCAUCUCCACCACCGCGGAUCAUCCUUUGAUCUCCCCGUGAAUUGCAACAGGUUCUAGUUUCCUACCUUACUGCUGCUGCAAUUUAAUUAUCCUUAUUCAAAAAAAAAAAAAAACUGUUCCUAUAUUGCUGCAUAAACCUUUCGUCACAAAGUUUUCAUCUCUACGACGAAAGAUACAUUGCAGAAUUCCAG